CCGUAUUUCUCUGAGAUGCACCUUACACGCUGUGUUCAGCUUCUUUUCAGUGUCCUUGGAAAUCACAGUUGCUUUAUAAUCUCUGGCUUUGACAGAAGUCCUCUUUUUCUUCAUAUUAAAGUCAUCCUCUGGACACAGUGGAAUGCUAAAUUUUGUGGUGGUUUUUCUUUGGAUGGAUAUUGGGUGGAAAAAAAAAAAAAGAAAGAAGAAGAAGAAGGAGAAACUUGCUUGGCAUUUUCCAUUGGUGCCUUCUCAGGAAGGGGAGCCAAAGCUGCAUUGCUCAGAUUCCAAACCGACUCCCAGUGUUCUUGGAUGGUACUAAAUGCUUCAGGGAACGCAUGAUAAGCCCACAAAAUCAGACGGCCACCGCAGCAGAACUACAUUUCCGUGAAAAAGUCAUACUAAAACCCAGGAAUGGAUCUGGAAGAGACCA